GUUUCAAUUCCUCAUAGGCAGGCUAUCGGCCACCGGGUUAACCUGAGCCGGGGUCUCGGUCGCCGG
rnacentral:sRNA from 1 species